rnacentral:rRNA from 1 species
GACGUAGGGGGCGAGCGUUGUCCGGAUUUAUUGGGCGUAAAGCGUGCGUAGGCGGCUGCGCAAGUCGGUUGUGAAACCCCGGGGCUCAACCCCGGAACUGCAUCCGAUACUGCGUGGCUAGAGGUAGGUAGGGGAGAUCGGAAUUCCUGGUGUAGCGGUGAAAUGCGCAGAUAUCAGGAGGAACACCGGUGGCGAAGACGGAUCUCUGGGCCUUACCUGACGCUCAGGCACGAAAGCUAGGGGAGCGAACAGG